AAUAAAUAGGCCAUACAAGUGUGAGUAUUGUUGGGUCAUCGAAUUAAGAGCAUCUACAGUUAAAACACACCUUCAAGUGUGGUGCAGUAGUCCAUCUUCGGAAUGGGUUACGUUGUCGGAACAUUGUAGUUCUAAUGGACCGUCCCUGCCCACAUCCAUAUCACCAACCCUCGCAUAAUGAUGUAGCCUAGUGUAAGACGUAAUAUUUUUUAGUAAAACUUUAUCCUGAGCCAAACUUUGAGUUUGUGUUGUAAGCACACUGCUAUGUCAAUUAUGAAUUAAUAACUCAUCUUUCCAUUAUUGAACUAUGUGUUUGGGCCAGACUCCCCAGUGGGUGGGACUGGAAAACCUUGAAAUAUAUAUUUGUAGUGGACUUCAAAGGUUUUCUUGUAAUAUUAUACCUACUACUUUGUAUGUCAAUAAUGGUAUCCAUUGAGGCCUAUGCCAUCAGUGGAAGGAGUUUUUUUCUUGUCCUUUGGGGUGCUUCAGUUACAGAAUGUCAUACACAUAUUCCCUGAAAAGCCCCUUGAGACUAACCAUGAUUAAAAGCUUAAAAAUACAA